UCAAAGUCCGGCAAUUGAUUGUGAUUUGCAACCUUGUGCUUUAUCUGAUAUUUUUCCACGCCCUUAUGGUCAGUUCUAUGGAAUGUCUGGCUUUUUUGUGGUUUAUCGGUUUUUUAAUCUGACUUCAGAAGCUACACUUGAUGAUGUUUUGGAGAAGGGUCAAGAAUUCUGUGAAAAGACCUGGGAAGUUGCAAGGAACAGUGUUUCCCCACAGCCUUUUAUUGAACAAUACUGCUUUAGGGCACCAUACAUAGUGUUAUUGUUGAGAGAGGGUUUACAUAUCACAGAUGACCAAUAAUUAUUUAAUAAUUAUUGGUUCUGGAAGUAUUACUUGGACUCUGGGGGUUGCUCUAUUUGAAGCUGGGAAAGCAUUUUCACCGAGACUGAGACUUCCUAGUUAUCAAAUACUCCAAAUGAGGAUACAUCCAGCAGUUCUUAUUGUCACUUUGAUUAUUUCCUUGAUUUUGCUGGUUUGUGCAAUUUCAUGUCUUGCAAAUUGGAUGCCAAGAAUUUUGCGAAUACCAUUUCUUCUGCUUUUCAGGCAUAACAGUGCAUCUGCUACGUCUGUUCUUAGUAUGCCUUCACCAUUCCGGUUCCAACGAUGGAGUCCUAUUAGUUCUGGGGACGGACGAGCAAAGAUGCCACUUAGUCCAACAAUUGCUGGGAGCCAACAAACAUCAUUUGGGUUGGGGCAUGGUCUAGGCAGUAGUGGCAUCCAGCUUAUGGAGUCAUCUUUAUACCCAUCAACUAGUGGUGUAUCACAUAGUUAUUCCUCAAGUAGCUUAGGGCAGAUGAUUGACAGUAAUAGCAUGGGCUCGUUCUGGUCUCCUCACAGAAGUCAGAUGAGUCUUCAGAGCAGAAGAUCACAAUCUCGAGAAGACCUUAGUUCUUCUUUGGNUCGACACGCACAUGGUGAAGGUUUAAGGAAUAGACUUCCUGAAGUUAUGGUAUGGUAACUUU
rnacentral:misc_RNA from 1 species